AGUGGGGAAUUUUGGACAAUGGGCGCAAGCCUGAUCCAGCAAUGCCGCGUGCAGGAUGAAGGCCUUCGGGUUGUAAACUGCUUUUGUACGGAGCGAAAAGGCUCCCUCUAAUACAGGGGGCUCAUGACGGUACCGUAAGAAUAAGCACCGGCUAACUACGUGCCAGCAGCCGCGGUAAUACGUAGGGUGCAAGCGUUAAUCGGAAUUACUGGGCGUAAAGCGUGCGCAGGCGGUUAUGUAAGACAGAUGUGAAAUCCCCGGGCUCAACCUGGGAACUGCAUUUGUGACUGCAUAGCUAGAGUACGGCAGAGGGGGAUGGAAUUCCGCGUGUAGCAGUGAAAUGCGUAGAUAUGCGGAGGAACACCGAUGGCGAAGGCAAUCCCCUGGGCCUGUACUGACGCUCAUGCACGAAAGCGUGGGGAGCAAACAGGAUUAGAUACCCUGGUAGUCCACGCCCUAAACGAUGUCAACUAGGUGUUGGAAGGGUUAAACCUUUUAGUACCGCAGCUAACGCGUGAAGUUGACCGCCUGGGGAGUACGGCCGCAAGGUUA
rnacentral:rRNA from 1 species